CAAACGGCCCUUUUCAGGGCCAUUACUCCAAUUCAUGUAGAGUUAUU
rfam:Aedes albopictus isolate Foshan contig105185, whole genome shotgun sequence.